rnacentral:rRNA from 1 species
GAUGAACGCUGGCGGCGUGCCUAACACAUGCAAGUCGAACGGAGUAUUUCGGAUGAAGUUUUCGGAUGGAUUUUGAGAUACUUAGUGGCGGACGGGUGAGUAACGCGUGGGCAACCUGCCCCAUACCGGGGGAUAACAGCCGGAAACGGCUGCUAAAACCGCAUACGAUGCAGAAGUCGCAUGACUACUGCAUGAAAUAUUCAUAGGUAUGGGAUGGGCCCGCGUCUGAUUAGCUAGUUGGUGAGGUAACGGCUCACCAAGGCGACGAUCAGUAGCCGGCUUGAGAGAGUGACCGGCCACAUUGGGACUGAGACACGGCCCAAACUCCUACGGGAGGCAGCAGUGGGGAAUAUUGCACAAUGGGGGAAACCCUGAUGCAGCGACGCCGCGUGAGUGAAGAAGUAUUUCGGUAUGUAAAGCUCUAUCAGCAGGGAAGAAGAAAGACGGUACCUGACUAAGAAGCCCCGGCUAACUACGUG